GGCACUGCUCGCCUCUUGGCAGCUGCUCGACAAAGGGUUUGUCAUCCCAGAGGCAGAGGGGCCGGAGCAACCUCUUUCUCCACCUGCUGACAAGCAAGAGAGCUGUUCUCAUGUCGAGGGAGGACAUGGCUGCCAGGAAAACUUCAAGGAUGGUCCCAACUCAUCCUGCUGAAGGAUUAAUACUAUUCAACUGGAGUUUUAUAUUGGACGCCAUGUGAAAUACCAACUUCUUACAAGAACACAUAUUAUGACAUUAUGUUGGCAUUUGCAAAGUAUCAACAACCAGCACAACUGACACAGACCAGGGAGUCAUUAAAAGUUCCAUGUAAAUGGUAUUCCACUACAGCAGAUACCCAAACACAGAAAGAUGGGUCUGGCUUCAGAUUAAGAGAGACAGCUAUGCAGUAUUCCCUUUAAGGAG